GAAAGAAUUUUUUUUAUUUCUAAAUAGAAUAAUUAACCUAAUUUUUACUUAAGAAAAAAAGCUCAAAUUAUAGUAUCCGAUAAAAAUUUUAAAAAAUUAGUUACGUAGUACCAAAUAUGUAUCGGUUGGUGUACCCAUUUAAAAAAAACAAAAAAAAAUUGGUACGAUUUCGGUGCGUACCUUACGGUACUUUAUCCAAAAUGGAGUACUCGUGCUUCAAAGACAAAAAAUCACCAUCAAUUAACCAUACAAACCACCAACAACAAAACCAUGCAUUUCCGUCUCAUUUCCGGUAAACAACAUAUAACACAGACUUAACAACAGUAGUGACACCAUUCCGUCACCUCCACAUCCCAAACUGAACAAUAAACACCACCAAGCCGCCCUCGUUCACCACCAUUUUCUUCUCAUGAAAACAAUAAACUUGUUGCAACAAUUUCUCAACAACGAAGCAAACUCGGUAGCAGCAAUAGAUUUCGUCUGAUAGCUCCUUCCUCUUUUCAUUCUUGUUUGUGUUGUUGUUGAACAUGUUGGACUUUUUCUUAAAUUUGUUUUGUUUCUCUUUGAUAACUUUGAGUGAAAACGAGUUUGGAUCCUUCCUUUUGAACAAACACGGAGUGAUUUGUUUUUGUUAAGUUUGAGUUGUUGGUUGUGUUUCUUGAUCGAGAGAGAUAGAGAUUGAGAGGAAAUCGAUUCGGCUUGAAAAAAACACAGAGAGAGAAGAAAGUUUACAUUCUUUU
rnacentral:lncRNA from 1 species